rnacentral:rRNA from 1 species
CUGCUGCCUCCCGUAGGAGUUUGGGCCGUGUCUCAGUCCCAAUGUGGCCGUCCACCCUCUCAGGCCGGCUACUGAUCGUCGCCUUGGUGGGCCGUUACCCCGCCAACAAGCUAAUCAGACGCGGGUCCAUCUUACACCACCGGAGUUUUUCACGCAAAUCCAUGCGGCUUCGUGCGCUUAUGCGGUAUUAGCACCUAUUUCUAAGUGUUAUCCCCCAGUGUAAGGCAGGUUACCCACGCGUUACUCACCCGUCCGCCACUAAGAU